rnacentral:rRNA from 1 species
GACGCAACGCGAAGAGCCUUACCAAGGCUUGACAUAUACAGGAAUAUGGCAGAAAUGUCAUAGCCGCAAGGUCUGUAUACAGGUGGUGCAUGGUUGUCGUCAGCUCGUGUCGUGAGAUGUUGGGUUAAGUCCCGCAACGAGCGCAACCCUCGUUCUGUGUUGCCAGCAUUUAGUUGGGGACUCACAGGAGACUGCCGGGGUUAACUCGGAGGAAGGUGGGGAUGACGUCAAAUCAUCAUGCCCCUUAUGUCUUGGGCUGCACGCAUGCUACAAUGGCUGGUACAAACGGCUGCGAUACCGCAAGGUGGAGCGAAUCCGAUAAAGCCAGUCUCAGUUCGGAUUGGGGUCUGCAACUCGACCCCAUCAAGUCGGAGUUGCUAGUAAUCGUAGAUCAGCAACGCUACGGUGAAUACGUUCCCGGGGCUUGUACACACCGCCCGUCACGUCACGAAAGUCGGUAACACC